rnacentral:RNase_P_RNA from 1 species
UUGGACAAUCGCGGUAUGUUACAAUGCUGAGGAAAGUCCAUGCUCGCACGGUCUGCGAUGACCGUAGUGUUUCGUGCCUAGUGAAACAAUAAGCUAGGGUCAUGCGUAUUGUAUGAACGGCAAGGAAAACGAUCUACGUCCGUAAUGGAUAUGACGGAGUACCUUUGAAAGUGCCACAGUGACGAAGCUUUGUUGGAAACAACAAAGGUGGAACGCGGUAAACCCCACGAGCGAGAAACCCAAAUUAUGGUAGGGGAACCUUCUUGACGGAAAUGAACGAAAAGAGAGGGCCAAGAUUUUUCUUGGAGAUAGAUGAUUGUCGCCGGAGUACGAGGGUGAUGCCCGUUUGCAGUACGAUGGUACAGAACAUGGCUUACAA